UAAGACUUAUUGUUUAGCAGUGCUACUGCUGUGGUUUCACCAGCCCCCCCCUGCAAUCCAACACACACGACAGAAACACUAAUAACUGUUUGGUCAGUGGACUAAUGCAAUCAUCAGUGCUGGAACAGAAGUUGCACUAACCGUUGAAGGAACGAGUGAUGGUGCAAUACCACGCUGCUGCUUCUCCUCACGCUGUGUCACAGCUACAGAUUCACAAACAGGGUUUGUAUCACAGGUGUGAGACCAAUGCUUUAGUGGCGCUCGGUACCGACUGAUGCCAGUUUGAGACCCGAGUGGGCGGCGUCACAUCAUUUGUUUUUCAUCUUUGAAUACGUCCUUGUCAAAAUACUUCAUCCACAAGUUUGUGGUUGUACAUUUGCCGUGUGUGACUCGAUCAUAAGUGAACAUAAUGCAGACUUUUGAGAAAGGACAUUAUUCACCAGCCGGUCUCUCGUGGUGGGCCGGGAGCCUGCAUGUGGCUCCAAUGAGGGUUUUACCUGUAAACAGAUGUCAAGGCAUAAUAUAUUUUUUUAUUUAACCAGGAAGAUCCCACUGAGAUUAAAAACCUCUUUUUCAAGGGAAACCUGGCCAAGAUAGGCAGCAGCAGGUGUCUCCCAGUUACAGAAAUGACUCAGUUAAUAUGCCUUAAACCAUGAGGUGACACGCCAAACCAAAGCAUUGGUCCAUCUUUAGUAAACACAAAGGGUUAAGAGAAGGAGGGCAGUUAUGCGUCAUUCCCUGCUUAUAUUUCGGUAACGCCUGUAGUUCAUGCUGUCCUCGUGAGGUUAGAGGUGUCUCCGUACUGUCUAAUUUGAUUUAAUGGUCAGGACUCACUGGCCCAUGAACACUAGUGGGGCCUCUGACAGCUGCUUUAACUGUGGAACGCCCUCCUUCCCAAACGGACCUCCUGGAUGUGAAGCUGCAGCUGUGCUACAGACAGUCUGUUUCACGUUUGCUGUGUCACUCAGCAGUAACAAUGAUGUUGUAAUCCUCAGAGUGCUCGGUCUAUAUGAAACGCUGCUGCUGCUGCAUACACUCUAAAGCCAAAUAUGUCGUCACUAAUGCUGAUCACUGUCACGCAGCAGAGCACUGAACGUUUGCAGCGUGACCUUUGAGCCUCAGCACUCGCUGCGACACUGAGCUGACUCGUGCUGGUAGAGGUAGCAAUUUUGGUUCGGCCACUUGUUGUACUGUUACUUAACCGAACCCUGUUUUUACAAAGCCUUAUCGAGGAAAAACACGUUACAUAACACUAAAAGUAAGGAGCUUGUUAUAAAUCUUUCACUUGUGC
ensembl:lncRNA